rnacentral:rRNA from 1 species
AACCGACACAGGUGGUCAGGUAGAGAAUACCAAGGCGCUUGAGAGAACUCGGGUGAAGGAACUAGGCAAAAUGGUGCCGUAACUUCGGGAGAAGGCACGCUGACACGUAGGUGAAGUGAUUUACUCACGGAGCUGAAGUCAGUCGAAGAUACCAGCUGGCUGCAACUGUUUAUUAAAAACACAGCACUGUGCAAACACGAAAGUGGACGUAUACGGUGUGACGCCUGCCCGGUGCCGGAAGGUU